GGAGCCCAGCUGCCAGGCUCUGCAGGGAUACUGGAGGGCAGGGAGGAGUCACAGCAGAUGGCUCCCUGCCAUCUGCUCUGCGUGCGUUGUGCCCCUGGCCAAACCCCCUGGGUUAUAUAACCCUCUCCUCUCUCCCUGAUUGCCCUGCCAUCCUGGAGACAGGCAGUGUAACAGUGGGGCACUUAAGAGCGUGGGUUCUAUUGAACUUUUAGUCUUACUUGGGCAAGUCUUGAUAUCCUCAGCUGUAAGAGAGAUGUAAUGACAAGAGGAUCUGAUAAGAUGUUAUGCCUUGGUUUGAGCCUGGCAUGUAGUAUAAUAUAUGCCUAACCAAGACCAAGCUUCUCUUGACCUCUCACCCUGCUCCUGCCCCCUUACCUGGGGCAGGGGGAUUGCCCCCUUUCCCAGCUGCCCUCUGCCCUGGCCUUUAACUUUAUUGCUCCACCUGUCCUUGGGCCCAGGUGGACAAGGCAAGCGUCCGGCAUGGCGGAGAGAACGUGGCCGCUGUGCUGAGGGCCCAUGGUGUGCGGUUCAUCUUCACGCUGGUCGGCGGGCACAUUUCCCCGCUGCUGGUGGCCUGUGAGAAACUGGGCAUCCGUGUGGUGGACACACGCCAUGAGGUCACGGCUGUCUUUGCUGCUGAUGCUAUGGCCCGCCUGUCCGGGACGGUGGGCGUGGCGGCAGUGACAGCAGGCCCUGGCCUCACCAACACGGUGACUGCGGUGAAGAAUGCUCAGAUGGCUCAGUCCCCAAUCCUGCUUCUGGGUGGGGCCGCCAGCACUCUGCUGCAGAACCGGGGUGCGCUCCAGGCCGUUGAUCAGCUGUCCCUUUUCCGGCCACUCUGUAAGUUCUGUGCGUCUGUGCGGAGGGUGCGGGACAUUGUGCCCACCCUGAGGGCCGCGAUGGCUGCCGCCCAGUCGGGCACCCCAGGUAGGUGGAGGAUGGUGAUGCUGAGCAGUGCUGGGGCUGAGGGGCUGGGGACAUGUUGUGGACUCAGCGUCCUCCCUGUCCCUGCAGGUCCGGUGUUUGUGGAGCUGCCCAUUGACGUGCUGUACCCCUACUUCAUGGUCCAGAAGGAGAUGGUGCCAGCCAAGCCACCCAAGGGCCUCGUGGGCCGAGUGGUCUCCUGGUAUUUAGAGAAUUACCUGGCCAACCUCUUUGCAGGAGCCUGGGAGCCUCAGCCCGAGGGACCACUGCCCCUAGACAUCCCCCAGGCUUCCCCGCAGCAGGUUCAGCGCUGUGUGGAGAUCCUGAGCCGGGCCAAGAGGCCUCUGAUGGUGCUGGGGAGUCAGGCCCUGCUCACCCCAACGUCCGCCGACAAGCUUCGGGCUGCCGUGGAGACCUUGGGUGUUCCCUGCUUCCUUGGAGGGAUGGCACGGGGGCUGUUAGGCCGCAACCACCCCCUCCACAUCCGGGAGAACCGCAGUGCGGCCCUGAAGAAGGCGGAUGUCAUUGUCCUAGCAGGAACUGUGUGCGACUUCCGCCUAUCCUAUGGCCGUGUCCUCAGCCACAGCAGCAAGAUCAUCAUCGUCAAUCGUAAUCGGGAAGAGAUGUUGCUCAACUCAGACAUCUUCUGGAAGCCCCAGGAGGCUGUGCAGGGUGAGCCCCUUAAUCCCCCCGUACACAUAUGUGCUCCUCCCAGUCCCUCUCCGCCUGGUUUCUGCUGCAGCUGGCUUGAGCCUGGUACAGUGAUUGAGGCCCAGACCUUGCCCUAGGGGUAGCCAGUCAACCAGAGACAAAUAGUUGGCCCUCAAACUGAUGAAUGCUUCUUUCUUUAAAUUUUUUUUAUUUUUAUUUUUUAGAGAUGAGGUCUCGCUCUGUCACCCAGGCUGGAAUGCAGUAGUGCAAUCACAGCUCACUGCACCCUCAAACUCCCAGGCUCAAAGCAAUCCUCCCACCUCAGCCUCCUGAGUAGCUGGGACUACAAGUGUGCACCACCAUGCCAGGCUAAUUUGUUAAUUUUUUUUUGUGGAAUCAGCAUCUCACUGUGUUGUCCAGGUUGGUGUGGAACUCCUGGCCUCAAGUGAUCCUCCUGCCUCGGCCUCUCAAAAGUGCUGGGAUUACAGACCAGAGCUACUGCGCCCGGCCUGAUACAUGCUUCUGUAGGAACAAAUGGUGGGGUGGACAGAGAGGGAGGCUUGAAAACGUGCAUGUGAUCACGUUCCCUCCCACACUGCCCACUGCCCUCAGGACAGAGAGCACACUCGUUGGCCCCUUAGCCUGUCUUCCUGCCGUAUCUCUCCCCUCCCCUUAUUUUAGUCCCCUUGGACUUGAACUUGGUUCAUCAUUCUGAGGAUGUUGACUCCCCUGCAGCCUAGGCGACAGGACACUCUUGUAUUAAGCAGAGAAGUAGCACCGUUGCAUCUGUGUUGGGAAGGUCCACUCAGCAGCCAUGGACGGCAGGCCGGAAGGGGGCUGGGUGGAGGCCAGGGGGGCUGCUAAAAAUGGCCAGGACAGAAGCGAGGAGGCCUGAACUGGAGAUGAACAGCGGGAGAGCCUCACCUUCUCAGAGCCUCCAUUUGAUCAUUUGAAAAAUGGGGUGGUGAAAAAUACAUCACGGGGCUGUUUGUUAGUUCACUUCAGUAACGUUCGCUGUGCGCUUCCAUGUGCCUGGAUUUGAGAGAUGUGCUUGGUGGAUGUAGCUCUUUUCAUUGAGUGUUUCCCAGGCAGAAGGAGGUAGAGGGAGGGGACGAGGCCAGCUUGGGUUUGUCACCUGCCUUGUGCUCCUUAACCCUUGUUUCUUGGGCCUUGUCUUCCCUUUUCACCUGGGCUGCCCUCCCCUGGUUCUGGCAGGUUCUGGGGUGUUUCACCUGUUUUUUUUCUAGGAGCACCCCUGGCCUGCUUCCCGUCUGCCUGCUCGGAUGCUGCUGCUGGCUUCCUGCUGUUUUGAGGCCUCUGAUGCUGGAAGAACAGGAGGAAGCCAGCUCCCCACAGCUGUGUCCUCUUCCUUCCCCAGGAGAUGUGGGUUCCUUCGUGCUGAAGUUAGUGGAGGGCCUUCAGGGCCAGACCUGGGCCCCAGACUGGGUGGAGGAGCUGCGGGAAGCCGACCGGCAGAAGGAGCAGACCUUUCGGGAGAAGGCAGCGAUGCCUGUGGCCCAGCACCUGAACCCAGUGCAGGUGCUGCAGCUGGUGGAGGAAACGCUACCUGACAACUCAAUUCUGGUGGUGGAUGGCGGGGACUUCGUGGGCACUGCUGCCCAUCUGGUACAGCCCCGCGGCCCCCUGCGCUGGCUCGAUCCUGGUAAGGAAGGGCCCCCGCCUGGGGCAGUGGGCACCAUCCAUCAGGACGCCUUCACACCCACCUGCUCUUGGUCCUCUUAGGGGCCUUUGGGACUCUGGGAGUUGGUGCAGGAUUUGCACUUGGGGCCAAGCUGUGCCGGCCAGAUGCUGAGGUGAGGCACUGGAGUUGGGAGACUUGCUGCUCUCUAGGCCCUGAUCCACCCUAACCAUCCUGGGUCCCCUCCCGACUAGGUCUGGUGCCUGUUUGGGGACGGAGCUUUUGGCUACAGCCUCAUCGAAUUUGAUACAUUCGUCAGACACAAGGUGACUGGGCUGGCCUGAGGGAAGCUUAGGGCCUGGGGUUCUGGGAGAUGUCACCAGGGGUGGGCUGAGGUGGGGAGGGAGCCUCCUCUCUGGCAGAGGCCCUAUCCCUGUCUCUGUCCUCUGGCUGGCCAAGCCAUGGGGCUGAAGGCUGCGGCCUGCCUUCAUCUUCUUCCUGUAGAUCCCAGUGAUGGCCUUGGUAGGGAAUGAUGCUGGCUGGACACAGAUUUCUCGGGAGCAGGUGCCCUCUCUGGGCAGCAACGUGGCCUGUGGCCUGGCCUACACUGGUGAGGGGGCCUCAGCGAGGUUGGGAGGACAGGAGGCUGUUUCAGUCCCAGCUAGGCUUGUGUUCCUCUCCUGGGCUGGCUGCAUGUGCGGUGGGCUGAGUCCUUGCCACUAUCCGACUUAAUCUCUUCUUUUAGAUUAUCACAAGGCAGCCAUGGGUCUGGGGGCCCGGGGCUUGCUGCUCUCACGGGAGAACGAGGAUCAGGUGGUCAAGGUUUUGCACGAUGCCCAGCAGCAGUGCCGAGACGGCCACCCGGUUGUGGUCAACAUCCUCAUUGGGAGGACGGACUUCCGCGAUGGCUCCAUUGCUGUAUAGGGCCUUGUGGGUCAGGACGCUUGGCUGCCUUCCUGCCCCUGGACUGUGUCCAGCUGGUUUGGAGUCUCAUCAUUGCUUGCCCUGGGCCUAUCCCAUGAGGCCCAAUGACUCCACAACCUCCCUGAGGAGGGGAUGGAGGGGUCACAUCUCAGAGAGGCUCUCUUGUGAGCUCUUGGACCCUCCUCUUCACGGACCCAACUGUGCCGUUUGUCCCCUCUCUUAUGGAGACUGAAUAAACCACCUCUGGCCCAUGUAGGCCCAAGUAUUC
rnacentral:sRNA from 1 species